rnacentral:rRNA from 1 species
UUGCGAUUAGAGUUUGAUCCUGGCUCAGAAUCAACGCUGGCGGCGUGCCUCAGACAUGCAAGUCGAACGCGAAAGUUCCCUUCGGGGAGCGAGUAGAGUGGCGCACGGGUGAGUAACACGUAGGUAAUCUACCUUUGGAUGGGGAAUAACAACCGGAAACGGUUGCUAAUACCGCAUAAUGCAGCGGCACCUAAUGGUGACAGUUGUUAAAGCGGGGGAUCGCAAGACCUCGCGUCUGAAGAGGAGCCUGCGGCAGAUUAGCUAGUUGGUAAGGUAACGGCUUACCAAGGCGAUGAUCUGUAGCCGGCCUGAGAGGGCGGUCGGCCACACUGACACUGACAUACGGGUCAGACUCCUACGGGAGGCAGCAGUCGGGAAUUUUGGGCAAUGGGCGAAAGCCUGACCCAGCAACGCCGCGUGAAGGAUGAAA